rnacentral:lncRNA from 1 species
AUGGUCCUCCAAGGUGAUGGAGACCCACCUCCAAGACCUGUGGUUGACCAUGGGCCACCGGUGGGUGCCGUGGGGCGGCCGUGGGGCUCAGCUGAUGUAGACGCGGUGGAAGUCAUGGGCCCCGAAGGCCGCGUUGCACUUGGGGCACUUGCGCUGGCGGGUGUCGUAGCGGCUCUUGACGCACUCAAAGCAGAAGACGUGGAAGCACUUGGUGAGGACGGCGUCCUUCUUGCGGGCGUUGCAGCAAGGGCAGGUCAGGCGGGCCUGGGGGGGGGCAAGAUGGCCAUCAGCCCCAUGGCAGAGCACCCAUGGGUGGUCCAGACCCACCCGUGGUCUUCUAAGCCCACCCUGAGGUCCUCCAAACCCAUCCCUGGUCUUCCAAACCCAUUCCUGGUCUUCCAAACCCAACCCCUGGUCCUCCAAGCCUACAGAAGAUGGUGGAGAGGCAACAAAAACGGUGGGGCAAGAGAGCUGUCAGCCCCACGGGGGCACCCAUGGGUGCUCCAACCUCACCCAAGGUCCUCCAGCACCCACCCAAAGUUCUCCAACUGCCAUCUAAAGACAUCCAACCCUACCCAAGGUCCUCCAGAUGCACCACAAGGUCCUCCAGCCCCCACCCAAGGUCCCUCAGCUCCUUCCAAGGUCCUCCAGCACCCACUUAAAAAUUCUCCAACCUUACCCAAGGUCCUCCAGAUGCACCACAAGGUCCUCCAGCCCCCACCCAAGGUCCCUCAGCUCCUUCCAAGGUCCUCCAGCACCCACUUAAAAAUUCUCCAACCUUACCCAAGGUCCUCCAGAUGCACCACAAGGUCCUCCAGCCCCCACCCAAGGUCCCUCAGCUCCUUCCAAGGUCCUCCAGCUCCCUCCCAAGGUGCUCCAGCCCCACCCAAGGUCCCUCAGCUCCUUCCAAGGUCCUCCAGCACCCACCCAAAGUUCUCCACCUCCCAUCUAAAGACAUCCAACCCUACCCAAGGUCCUCCAGAUGCACCACAAGGUCCUCCAGCCCCACCCAAGGCCCCACAGCUCCUUCCCAGGUCCUCCAGCUCCCACCCAAAGUUCUCCAACUCACAUCUAAAAACCUCCAACCCUACCCAAGGUCCUCCAGCCCCCACUUCAAAAUUCUCCAACCCCACCUAA